UGUCAAGGGAUGGGAAUCGAACCCACGACCUUCCGCUUACCGCAUGCCACUAGGCUACCCUUGAC